rnacentral:lncRNA from 1 species
GUUGACAGAUUGAACACAGCCUCUCUGAUGCAAAUCAGACCAUUGGAGUCCACACUUUAAUUCCCCCAAUUUGUCUUUUUAUUUUACAAGGUGGAAGCCUCCGGUGUCUCCUCUGCUGGCUUUGUGUACCUUUUUGGUCUCAGAAAGACAUGCAGGCAGUCAUUCCCUCUGGAAGUCUUACCUGGACAUUUUACCCAAGUCAUAUACCUGCCCGGUGUGCUUGGAGCCAGAAGUGGUGGAUCUUCUUCCGGGACCUUUGAGGGCGAAGGCGGAAGAGCAGAGAGCCCGCGUGCAGGAUUUGUUUGCCUCCUCUAGAGACUUCUUCUCUACCCUGCAGCCUCUGUUUGCAGAGUCUGUGGACAGCAUUUUCAGCUACCAUGCCUUCCUCUGGGCCUGGUGCACAGUGAACACC